CGUUGGUGGGGAUGUCCCGGAGUAGGAUUCAGAGCGGUUUUUUUAAAAUCCGAAUCUAAAUUUGGCGGAUUUUUAAAUUUAUUUUUGACAUUUUUAUUCCUCUUAUAUACUGUUAUGAUUUUUAGAGGGACAUAUUUGUGAUGACAAAAUUAAAAAUAUAAACAGUUAUAUAACGAUUCUCCAACGAUAACAAACCAAAUGGACAUUGUUCGUAGCCGAAAUCCCUGAUCCUUGACCCGGUCAAAGACCCUCCUCGAGAAGCGUGUCGGGAUGGAAACGGCUUAUGGUACUGAUCCUCGAAGUUUGCACCCUUCGAACGAUCAAGCGAUUCGGCUGAUGAGGGAUCAAAUCAGCCGGGUUCGAAACCUCUAAAGUAAACUUGGUUCGGCGGGAUGAGCCGAAUGUACGGACAGAGUUAGAAACGAGUACGGCCGAAGAGCCGAACUAACAGAAAAGGUGAGAAUUGGUAGGCUAGAGGAGCCGAAUGCCUUUAUAUUGAGUGGAAGGAAGUACAGGGGUCGAGUGUGCCGGAUGGCAUGCAGACUCGGUUGAUCUACUUUACGGGCUACUCCUAGAAAGAACAGUAAAUGUGGGAAAAGAAAAGUUACAGGUAAACUACUCCUAGAUAAUGCAGGAAAUUGCGAGGAACCAAGAGUGGUCUUUUGUUCGUAGGGAAAAAGACCCAUUUUUUAGGGCGUUAUUGACCUAUUUAUAGAUCGCCCCUUGAUAAGUUAUUGCUCUUACACGAUCGGCUACUAUCUCCUAAUAUCCCGGACCACCUCCAGCCGAUCGGAACCGCAUGCAACUGCUUGCGGUUACUGUAACUUCCUUCAAUUGGCGCGACGGUUUACUUUAAAACUUUUCCGGUGCUCCUGGUGCACGGUCAGAUUGAUGCCUUUGAAGGGAAUACCGGCGUACCACUUGUCCGCACCUAAUUGGCUCAACAAUUGCCCCUCGACAGCUUUCGAAGUAACUCUUCGGUAGCUGGCGUAAUCCGAGGUGCGAUUACUUUUCAAACUCUUGGUACGGUUUCGUCUCAACCGUCCACUUUUUUUGCUGCCGAAAUCCCGCCAUCGUUUCAAUAACAAGCGCGAUCCGAGGCAUGGUUCUCGAUCCGAUCAGAUUCAAAUUCUCUGUACGAGUAACUGACGUACUCCGAGGCAUGACCCUCUGUACUGUUCAAUCUUAGCCGCCCAUUUCUUUCCUACGACUCCGAUCUCGCUCCCUAUUUUUGUCUCAUAUGCGGCAUUAAUUAGGUUAUCUUAAUUACCGUCGUCUAUUCAUCAUUAUAGCCGACCUCAGAACUCACUUCGAUGCGACGGUUCGCCGCGACGGCCUUUUCUUCUUCCCUAAACUUCUCAUUCCCUUUGUCUUUUCUAUCCCCUUUUUAUUUCUUCCUCGUCUUCUUCGGCGAAACUUCUCUUUCGCUACUCUUUACUUCUUCUUCGUCUUCUCUGAUUUCUUUUAAUCUUCAUCUUUCAUUCACACUCAUUCGAUAGUUUCUUUUCGCUUCGAGUAAUGGUGCCGCUCCCGCCUUUACCUACUCGUCCUUCGCUGGAUUAUACUUUACUUAAACCAUAUCUCUCUUUAGACCCCACUAGAUUAACCUUGGGUCCCUCCUUUACUAAAGAUCCAACUCCUGAUGAUUUUCCUAACUCCAAUGAUGGUCUUCCAUUAAUGGCUAAAUCCAUUCAUCUUCACUCCUGGUAUUCCUCGACUUUGACAGGAAAAAGUCUUCGAACUUGGCCGAGUGUUUCAGAUGAUUACUUGGAUUGGUUGGACCGAGUGGAGGCUGUUUAUGGUAAUUCUUAGAAGGAGAUCGGGAUUUAUGAAGCUAUUCGGCUAUCUAGGAAGCCUCAUGUAGCCGACAACCUUCUGUUAGCUUAUGCUCUUUGUUUUUGGUCCCCUGUCUCCAACGUUUUUCUUUUCAGAGGGAGACCUCUUACUCCGACUCUUUUUGACAUAGCCGCUAUCGUUGGACUGCAUCCUCAUGGAGUUACCAUCUCUAUGGCUUAUAAUCCCAAUGGCGUGUCUGACUUUGAGGCUCAUCUCGACCUCAAUGACUUGGCUUACUCCAAGUUCCUCCGUAAGUUUGCAGGCGAAUCCCCUACUCCUGUUACUAGAAAAAAACAUACAGCGUUCCUCCUAUUUUGGUUAUGCCACAAUCUCUUCUGCACUCGUUCGCAGAAAAUCAAUCCGGACUUUGUCCCAAUCGCCGUUGGUUUAUCUAACGGCGAUAGAUUAGCUCUAGGGCCUUAUUUUCUUGCCUUCGUCUAUAGGAAAAUCUUUGAUUCCAUUAAACCACUACCCUCUGGAGAUGGUGUAACAAUCAGCUCGGGCUGUGGUGUUUUUUGGUUUUUGCAAAUAUUUCUGUAAAUUUAUUUUUAUAAAUUGUGCCGAGAACCUCUAGAUCUAGACUCGGCUCCUCAUUUUGACUCUUAUGGGCUUGCUCUCGGCUGUCCUCAGCCGUUAACAUCGGGCCACCCUCUUUAUUUUAUCACCUAUUUCAAAACUUUUUAUGAAUCAGAUCCUCAUUUUCUCGUUUCUCGGUCUUCUCUUACUGAUCGUGUCACCGGCCCACCUUGGUUUUUAGCUAGGUAUGAGGUUAUUCAAGGUAAAACUGCUUCUUCCCGUGCCGGUGAAUAUUCAGAUAUUUGGUACUCUUUUUUGGCUACAAGGGAUUUGCACAUUGGUUUGAAAUCGCGCUCGAAACUACUGCCCAGUACUGAGGUUUACUCCCCCCAGUUCGCAGCACGUCAAUUUGGAUUUACACAAGCAAUCCCUGCUCCAGCCAAGUUCUUUACGGCCAAUACUGCCGUUCAUCGUCCUCCCACCAAAAGCAUAGCCGAUGCUGAUCGAAUUUCGGCCAUGGGGAAUCGUCUUCGACGUUUCUUCAAAUUAUUAAGCUUUAGGCCGAAUUGUACAGGAGUAGUAGGUUUCCGCUAUACCAUUAAUUGGGAUCGUUUUGUCAAUAUUACAUUCAAUUUGUCUACUUCACAGGCACACCGCAAAACUAUUCAACCAAUUGGUAUGUCUCUUACUUAUAGAAAAUUUCUUGUUUGACAUAAUUCCUGCUUAUUUAUUUUCUGUUUACAGUGCCUUUUUCAAGCAAAUGUCUUCCGGACGAUACCGCCGCUUCAUCUGUACUACAAGAAGAAUCGGAAGAGAUUUCCGAUCAUAUCUCCGAUAUCCCUCAUUCUUCUGUAAUAUACCUUGCUUUUCUUUUGAUUUUUCUUUUCUUUGUAUAUGUAAUGCUUACUUUUUCUUUUUUGCAGUCAAUUCCGGUUUCUCCGUCAGUCCCAGCUUCAGAGAAAAGGUCGACGGUAACUACACAAUCUACUCCUCCGCCGCCUCCAAAGCGGCACAAGUCGGUCGUCAAGAGACCGCAUUCGUAUUCCCAACAAACCGAAAGCGCUCCUUCGGCUGACGUUUUAAAGAAAAGAGCCGAAGAUGUACCUUCGGUUACGAUUCCAGAAAGAAGAGUCGAAGAAAUAUCUUCGGCUGAUGCUCCAAAAGAAAGAGCCGAAGUAUCAUCUUCGGUUGCUGAGCAAAGCUCUGUUUCGAACGAGCCGAUUGAGAUUGAGGUAAACCAAUUUAGUUAUCUGUACUCAAUCCUUUUGUUUCUUUAUUUAUUUAUUCUUUUCUCCUAAUAAAACAGUCCUCUCCUGAAAGAAUCCAUUUUGCUCAUUCUUUGAAGACGCAGAUGGAUAGACAACUCCGUCGUGAAGCUCGCCUCAAAACGAGGGAAGAAGCAGAGAAGAAUAGGGCAACUCAAGAAAAGACCCAAGAAUUGCCAACAAGUGGUGUAGCAUUACCUAUUUCAAUUCCAAUGCCAACAACAUAAGGAGGAAAUGUGAAUGCACCUUUGGAAGAAGACGUUGGAGGAACACGAACAGAGCCUCACUUGACUCCUGAAGCUUCAUCGUCUGUCCCAGAAGAUCCUCGAUCUGCAACUUUUCACUCUCUCUUAAUUUCGAGUCCAAAUUCUAAUGAAGGAGAUGAUUCGACUACCAUUGUAAAGUCGUCAGACACUCAACAAUAAUUUGAUGAGUGUCUACGAUUAUAUAGUCAAGGUCUCCCGUAUUUGGCUCAAAAUUCAGAGCAAUUUGAUCGGCUGUGUGCUCUUUCACUUGACUUGGCCGAUCAGUCAGACAUCUUUUCUGCUGGUAAAUAUUUUGUAGAGAUUCUAUUGUCUCAACUUUCUUCUUUUUUAUCUCGGCAACAAUCUUUGAGUGCUGAAUUUUUAUCCCUUGAUCAACAUUUUCAUCAAGUUGAUCAUUGUAAAAAUACUAUACUUGAGGUAGCGGCUCUUAUUACCGAUGUGAGCCGAGAGGAUCAAACUUUAGCAAAUCAAGAAUUGGCUUUGCAACAGCGAAUUUCAACUCUCAAGAAAGAAUUAGCCGCAGCCGAAUUAACUCUAGUUCAUACUUCUAAGCGUCGGCUCCUCCUACAGGAUCAAUUGAAGACGAAGAAGAAUGAAGGGGUAAAGUUUCAAGACAAGCUUACCCAACUUUACAAAGUGCAUCCUUUAAUGAAACGUAGGAGAAAAAUAGCUGAGACUGCCCAAGCUAACUUGAUAGCCGAAUGGAACCAACUCAAGGAUUUACUAUCUUGAUUCGGCUUGUAAUCCUUUAACUCUGACUUUGAUUAUUCUUCCACAUUGAUAGGUAAUACUGUUUUAGGUACUUUCCAUUGAUUGGCUUUUUAUUUUCUAACACAUCUAGCUUUUUCAAGUAAUAUGUGUUUCCUCUUGUGAUUCUACUGAUUUGAAAUGGUCCUUCCCAAUUUGGAGACCAUUUCCCGUAUACUCGGUCUUUUCGACCGAUUGGAAAAAUAAGCCUAAGAACCAAGUCACCAACUGCAAAUGACUUAGCUUUAACUUUUUUAUUAUAUGCAUUGCGUACUCGGCUUUGAUAAGCUUGUAAAUGGUUCAAUACCAUCAACCGAGUUUUAUAUAUUUCUUCCAUUUCUUCCUUCAUCAAAUUACUAUAUUGAUCAGCCGAUAGCUCCUUUUGCCUUUCUACUCUUAAAGAAGGGACUGUUAUUUCGGCUGGUAUCACAGCCUUGUGGCCGUAUACUAAUUGAAACGGUGUCAUCCCCGUUGCUGUUUUUAUUGAAGUUCGGCAUGUCCAUAAUAUUUCGGAUAACUUUUCAUUCCACUUUCUUGGAUGUUUUCCGAUAUGCCGCUUCAUAAGAUUUAUAAUCACCUUAUUUGCUGCCUCAGCUUGUCCAUUAGCUUGAGCAUAAUAUGGUGAUGAGUGAAGUAACUUGAUCUUCCGAGAUUCAACGAACCGAAUGAACUGAGCUCCUGUGAACAUUGUUCCUUGAUUGGUUGUGAUCGUCUCAGGAAUCCCAAAGCGAUGAAUUAUUGAGUCUUCAACGAAAUCAAUAAUUUCUUUUUGAGUGACCAAUCGAGCAGGUUUCACUUCUACCCACUUGGUAAAAUAAUCAACGGCCACUAUUAAAAACUUAUGACCAGCCGAAAAAUUCGGCUGAAUUUCUCCAAUCAAAUCCAUGGCCCAACCUCGAAAAGGCCACGAUUUAAUUAUAGCAUACAUCACGGAAGCAGGUCGGCCUAACUUGUUGCUGCGAGUGCGGCCGAUACCCAGGAAACCUUUGCUUUGAGCCGAAUGGUUUUUCUGGAUAACUCUAUCGGCUAUGACGUUCAUCUUGUCGGUUAUGAUAGUAAUCAUGCAGAACUUUCUGCAUCAAUAAAUCUUUUUUGUGUUGAACCGAAUCGAUUUCCCGUUUCGUCUCGUUUGAGACUUCAUCUGAUCCAUCCUUUUCUUGAUCAUCUCCUUCAGGAAUGUCAUCCCAUUCCUCGGGGAAUGCCAUUAAUUUAUUCCAUUCGUUGCCUCUCUUUUUGUCGUUGAUAAUGAUUUCCGAAUCUUUUUUCGUCAUUUCGGCUUUGCAUCUUAUGCAAAGCCGAAGGUUUCUUUUGGCGUGUGCAAUAUUUUCUGCGGUCGUCUUGUCUGCAAUCUCUUUUCCUUUAGCAUUCACCAUGUUAACCUGUAACGGAAAAGAGUUUUUGUCAAUUCUUGUAUUUUCAUUUUCUUGAUCAGCUAAAAUGAGUCGACCCUCGUCUAUUUCUUCUUGGAUCUGCCUUUUUGCAGUCGCUUUUUCUUUUUCUUUCAUAUUCACCAUGUUGACCUGUGAUGGAAAAUGAUUCUUAUCAAUUUUUAUAUUUUUAUUUUCUUGGUCGGCAAAUAUGAGCCGACCCUCAUUUAUUUUUUUUUGAAUCUGCCUCUUAAAGACAGUGCAUUCAUUUGUCUUAUGGCUCCAUGAGUGGUGCCAUUUGCAAUAUCGUCUACAUUUUAAUUCUUCCACAGGAGGUAUUGUUUUACCCUCCUGCAAUUGAAUUUGACCAUCUUUUAGCAACCGAUCAAAAAUUAGAUCGGUCUUUGACACAUCAAACGAAUAUGUGUUUGCCGACACCCGUGCUUUCGCCUCGCUUGACUUAGCAGGCUUCAGCAAAGCACAUUUGUAUGGCUGUCGACUUUUUACAAUCUCAACUGCAUAUACUUCGGCUUCAUCAGCCAAAUCUUCAGCCUCUUCAGAUGAAUUCGGCUCCUCACGAGCCGAAGACUCUUCAAGGAAUGAGAUAUGUUUCUCCUUCCUUUUGUUCCACUCUUUGUUUCGGCUCCAUUGGGUCGAUCUUCAUUAUUUCCUUUUCGGAAUUGCUCAUAUUGAACAACUCGAACUCCCAAAUUGAAAAAAUUUGAAAAAUAUUUGUCUUCAAAAUAAUCUUUAAUUUUAAAAUGCAAGCCGUACGAAAUGCCAUUUUGGCAAACUCCGACUCUGGCAUUCUCACAAAACAACAGCUCCUAGCCGUCUUGAAUCGGUUCAAAUAUUCAUCAAUCAAUUCUCCCGUUCUCUGUUUGAACUGAGCCAAAUCGGCAACCGAUAAUUCUGGUUCGGUUAUAUAGAAUUAUUCAUGAAAUUUUUCUUCUAAUUCGUCCCAAUUCCGGACGGAAUUAGCCGGCAAACUUGUAUACCAAGUGAAAGCCGUCUUGGUUAAUGAGGUGUUAAAUAAUCUUAACUUUAAAAAUGGGUCCACUGCGGCUUCUCGGCAUUGUGCCGUGAACCGUGCAACAUGUUCGAUCGUGUUCUCGGUCUCAUCUCUGGAAAACUUAUCAAACUUCGGCAUUUUUCAAUUUGCCGGGUAUGGAUGUUCUGCGUCUAUAUUCGCAGGGUAAGGUGAUCUAAAUACAGGCCGCAUUGCUAGCCUUGCGCCUAUUCCGAAUGUAUUUCGGAUGGCUUCCUCUAUUUGCGCAUAAAUUUCAUUGUUAUUCCCCCGGGGGGGGACUUUUGCUUGUACUGGAUUUGGUCCUUGUGGUAGAUCAAAAUUUUGUAUCAUAGGGUUAACUCCUUGUACAUUCGAAGCCUGCCCCCUAGCCCCUACAUUUUCGGGCUGGUAUGCUGCUACUGGUGGAGGAGGCGGUAACCCCCAUGCUAUCUCAGGUUGUUUGCCGGCAUUGACAACUGCCGGUCUAUAAAUUCUCUGAAACGGUGCCCCCUGGUAUUGAGGUUGACCGUUUACCGGUGUUACAUGAUUUUGUAACACUGGCGUCAUUACAGGCGCUUGUAAGCCUGUUAUCGGCUGCCCAUUCCGAGUUAAUAAUUGUCCUAUUCGGGCAAUAUUCUCGUUAGAGGCUGUGAUUGCGGCUAACACCGCAUCUAGCCGUGCAGUGCUAGUAUGACUAUUUUGGUCCAAAACUUGUAGGACCGAAGUCAUUUGCCCAAUCGCCUGAGCCAAAUUAGGCUCUUGCUGGCCAGAUUGGCCGCUAGUUUCACCCUCAGCGGGCAAAACCGCUUUGCGUUCGGCAACAUUUUUUGAAUUGCUAGGUUGUUCGCUCCCAGAACUUCUAGGAACGGCCCUAUUUUGUAAAUUCAUGCAUUAUCGUCAGCCAUAAUAUCAAUAACUGAUAAAAAAUUACCUUAAAACGAGUCCCACCGAGCGUGCCAAAAAUUGUUCGUAGUUGAAAUCCCUGAUACUUAACACGGUCAAAGACCCUCCUCGAGAAGCGUGUCGGGAUGGAAACGGCUUAUGGUACUGACCCUCGAAGUUUGCGCCCUUCGAACGAUCAAGCGAUUCGGCUGACGAGGGAUCAAAUUAGCCGGGUUCGAAACCUCUAAAGUAAACUUGGUUCGGCGGGAUAAGCCGAAUGUACGGACAUAGUUAGAAACGAGUACGGCAGAAGAGCCGAACUAACAGAAAAUGUGAGAAUUGGUCGGCUAGAGGAGCCGAAUGCUUUUAUAUUGAGUGGAAGGAAGUACAGGGGUCGAGUGUGCCAGAUGGCAUGCAAACUCGGUUGAUCUACUUUACAGAUUACUCCUAGAAAGAACAGUAAAUGCGGGAAAAGAAAAGUUACAGGUAAACUACUCCUAGAGAAUGCAGAAAAUUACAAGGAAUUAAGGAUGGUUUUUUAUUCGUAGGAAAAAAGACCCUUUUUUUAGGGCGUUAUUGACCUAUUUAUAGAUCGCCCCUUGAUCAAUUAUUGCUCUUACACGAUCGGCCACUAUCUCCUAAUAUCCCGGACCACCUCCAGCUGAUCGGAACCGCAUGCAACUGUUUGCGGUUACUGUAACUUCCUUCAAUUUGCGCGACGGUUUACUUUAAAACUUUUCCGGUACUCCUGAUGCACGGCCAAAUUGAUACCUUUGAAGGGAAUACCGGUGUACCACCUGUCCGCACCUAAUUGGCUCAACAGACAUAUUUAAAAAUAUCAGGACUUUUGCAUGAACAAUAUAUAAAAGUUGAACUUUAUAAGUAUAUAUUUAUUAUUCAUUAUACUUGUAGGGACCUAUAUAAAAUUAACCUGUAGCCAAAAGUAGAAAGGAAAAAAAAAGGAGCCAAUCAAAUCCUAAAAGCCACAGUAUGCAAGCUUUUUUAAACCUUAUUGAAUGCCUAGGUUAGGCCGAGGUUACAUGAAACAACAAAUAUUUUACUANGAAACAAGAACUACAUUUGAAGACUCGGUAAAUGCCUCAACUACAAGAGUCGGGGAAGCAACGAAAGAUCGAUACAUUGCCCGGCCCUCUCCUCCUUCCGCAUCGUAUAUCGAAAUGUUAUAUAUGAAAUUCUUCCUGCCCUAUGUGCCGGGACAUGCCUACACGAAAGCUGAAAGAGUACAUCGUCGGGGAAGGGCUCAUCUCGCACUUAAAGAUCGAUAGCUCAUCUCGAGACAAGAGAUAUUCUAGAAAUAUAAUAUAAGUAGUUAAGAAUAGCCCCUACUCCAAAAGCUAACCCAGCAGCUAAGAAAGCAAGAACUAGCUAGAAAGCGUCUUCAGCGUCUCAAGCUGAAAGAGCGGAAA
rnacentral:lncRNA from 1 species